GGGGUUUUAGCUAAGUCGGGAUAGCGUCAGACUGAAGUUCAAGCACAUCUGAAGGUCGCGUGUUCGAUUCACGCAAACCCCA